AAAGCAGCAAUGAACGGGAUAAGGCCAUUUUAAGCUCCACACAGAGAGCCGUCGGUUGGUGAAAGACGGCAGGAAGAGAUGACCGAGAUCACCCGGGAGCUUUCACGUCGAUGAGUUAUCGGAGGCGCGAACGUAUCUCAGCGUUAAUGAGGACCUGUCAGGUCAUGAGUAUAAUGCAGGGUGGUACCGCGGACAUUCCGCCCCUGCU
rnacentral:ncRNA from 1 species